CUUUGGCACUCAGCUUGCAUGCAAGACAUGUUCCCUCAUCUCUUUUCUUUUGUGAAGAAUAGGAACUCCACUGUGUAUACCAUCAUUCACACUGAAUUUCUGGAGGAUCUCUUUCACUUACCAUUGACAGUGGAAGCAUUCCAAUAAUUUGAAUCAAUGGAAGACAUUUGUAUAGCUUUGAGGGGUUCUGAAUAUCUGGAAUGUACUGAUACCUGGAGCUAUAUUUGGGGAAGUGAUCAAUUCUCAGUUGCAAAGGCAUAUAAACUGAUGAUGGGAGUUAAAAUAGUGCCACAACAAUUUAACUGGAUCUGGAAUAGCUCUUGUCAACCCAAGCACAAGGUGUUCUUUUGGAGAUUACUACAUGACAGACUCAAUACCAGGAAUCUCCUUAGAAGGAAAACUUUUCACUUGGACAAUUAUAAUUGUGCUGUAAACAAUUGCCAGCAGGAGGAAACACUUCAACACCUCUUUUGGACAUGUCCUUUUGCUGCAUAG
rnacentral:rRNA from 1 species